rnacentral:lncRNA from 1 species
CAUCCACUCGGCCAACGUGAUCCACCGCGACCUGAAGCCCAGCAACCUGCUGCUGAACGCCAACUGCGACCUCAAGAUCUGCGACUUCGGGCUGGCCCGGCCGUCCUCCGAGAGCGACAUGAUGACGGAGUACGUGGUGACGCGGUGGUACCGCGCCCCCGAGCUCCUGCUCAACUCCACUGACUACUCGGCCGCCAUCGACGUCUGGUCCGUCGGCUGCAUCUUCAUGGAGCUCAUCAACCGCCAGCCCCUCUUCCCCGGCCGCGACCACAUGCACCAGAUGCGCCUCAUCACCGAGGUAACUUUCGGCGUCUCGGGUUGCACGAUGGCAUUUCAGUAUUUCACUCGUGUAUCUCUGACGCCUUCGACCUAUCAUCAUCAUCAUCGGCAGGUGAUCGGGACGCCGACGGAUGAGGAGCUCGGGUUCAUCCGGAACGAGGACGCGCGCAAGUACAUGCGGCACCUGCCGCAGUUCCCGCGGCGGCCGUUCGCGAGCCUGUUCCCGAGGGUGCAGCCCGUGGCGCUGGACCUCAUCGAGCGGAUGCUCACCUUCAACCCGCUGCAGAGGAUCACAGGUCAGCCACACCGGCUCGCCGCCGCGGUUUUGAUUUGCUUUUCUUUUAUCCUCGUGCAACUCGUGCGGCUGCUGAAUCUUUGGGUAUACUCCACGUGCGGUUUUCUAUUCUUGCGUGUUGACCGGUGGUAGAAUCACUGUUCACUACCAUAUUGACGUCGGUGGUUAGUAGUACGUGAGGGCCACUGGCUACCCUUGUGUAUAGGCAAGGAAACACUGGCACAUUUCCGGGUUGGCAUCAAGUAGACAUGGUACUGGCGGCCUCCGGUCAAAGAAAGAGGCGUGCCCUGAGCUAGGUCUGUCCGUCCAAUUUUGAGUAGCUUGACUGUUCUGGUCAGGUUCAAAUGCAAUCUUCUUUGUCCAAAGUAGAAACAUUUAAUAAUCCGCAGGGUUUUGUCAGGGUUUCCGGUCAGGGUUGGGUAGGUUUCUUCGUUGAAUUGAGACCAUAACAGUCUAACGGAAAAGGGCGGCGUCACUUCUGUCAUUCUGUCAUGAAACAUUUAAGCGCUAUACCCUUGUAUUUAAGGUCCACUGCUAGUUCGCUACUUGCUAGCAUGAAUCUCACUUUUGUUCAGUUUGUUGCCUACCGUUCAACUGAUAGAACAAUAUCCCAGUGGGCUUGCAAAUUUGCAGCUAAAAAGCUGAUCCACAGCAAGUUAGU